UACGUAGGUGACCAGCGUUGUCCGGAUUUACUGGGCGUAAAGCGUGCGCAGGCGGUCUUUUAAGUCAGAUGUGAAAUCCCCGGGCUUAACCUGGGAACUGCGUUUGAAACUGAAAGGCUAGAGUGUGGCAGAGGGGGGUGGAAUUCCACGUGUAGCAGUGAAAUGCGUAGAGAUGUGGAGGAACACCGAUGGCGAAGGCAGCCCCCUGGGCUAACACUGACGCUCAUGCACGAAAGCGUGGGGAGCAAACAGG
rnacentral:rRNA from 1 species